rnacentral:lncRNA from 1 species
AGUUCACUUUUAAAUGGAAUUAUUAGGUUAGAUUAUAUUUCACAGAGAUAUUGUUGGAUAUAGAAGUGGUCUCUAUUUUCUGAGAAGCCUGUCGGCAUUUUCAGCGAUCAAUUAUUACUGCAAUGCUGGAGGUACGUCCCAAAGUGCUUGAAAUUUUUUAAACGAAACACUUCAAAUUCCACUUCUAUAGUUUCACAUUUUCUCACUUUAAUACUCUGUGGUUUAAAAUGUAUCAAUUUAGUGCCUUGUGAUUUUAUUUUUAUCUUUUUAUCAUCGAUUUCACUAAUUUUUUUCGUUAAAUCAAUGAUAAAGUUAAAACUAAAAGGUAUUAAAAUGAAUAUUCGAUAAAUCUAGGUAGUUUAUCUGAAGUUUUUUUGUAUAUAAAUUUAACGAAAUAUUAACGGAAAAGCUAACGAAAAGAUAAAAAUGAAACCACAGGACACUAACUUGAUACACUUUAAGUCACAGGGUAUUAAAGUGAGAAAAUGUGAAAUCACAAAGAUGGUAUUUGAAAUUUGUCCUUUUUAAAAAAAAUUUAAAAUAUGACAGAUAUAUUAAUGAUGUGGUAUUUUCAACCAAUCAUAUUUGACUUGUAAGAUUUAUCCAUCCCACUGUAGUUUUUUUAAAAAAAUUAUUUU